CUCUAUGGCCAUACCACCCUGAACGCGGCCUAUCUCAUCGGAUCUUGGAAGCUAAGCAGGGUCGGGCCUGGUUAGUAAAAAAAAAAAAAAAAAGAGAAAGAUAGAGG
rnacentral:rRNA from 1 species